rnacentral:rRNA from 1 species
CAAUAGCGUAUAUUAAAGUUGUUGCGGUUAAAAAGCUCGUAGUUGGAUUUCUGGUCGGAAGCUCCUGUCCUCUGAUGAGCGUACAAGUGCGUCCUACCAUCCUUCUGUUAACCUUUAAGGCUUUCGCGGCUUUCUAGGGGCUCAGAUAUUUUACCUUGAGAAAAUUAGAGUGUUUCAGGCAGGCUAGCGCCGGAAUACAUUAGCAUGGAAUAAUGGAAUAGGACUUUUGCCUCUUCUGUUGGUCAUGAGGCUCGAGUAAUGAUUAAUAGGGAUAGUUGGGGGCAUUAGUACUUAACUGUCAGAGGUGAAAUUCUCGGAUUUGUUAAAGACUAACUUAUGCGAAAGCAUUUGCCAAGGAUGUUUUCAUUAA